rnacentral:rRNA from 1 species
GGACGAACGCUGGCGGCGUGCUUAACACAUGCAAGUCGAGCGAUGAAGCUCUUCGGAAGUGGAUUAGCGGCGGACGGGUGAGUAACACGUGGGUAACCUGCCUCAUAGAGGGGAAUAGCCUUCCGAAAGGAAGAUUAAUACCGCAUAAGAUUGUAAUAUCGCAUGAUAUAGCAAUUAAAGGAGUAAUCCGCUAUGAGAUGGACCCGCGUCGCAUUAGCUAGUUGGUGAGGUAACGGCUCACCAAGGCGACGAUGCGUAGCCGACCUGAGAGGGUGAUCGGCCACAUUGGGACUGAGACACGGCCCAGACUCCUACGGGAGGCAGCAGUGGGGAAUAUCGCACAAUGGGGGAAACCCUGAUGCAGCAAACCGCCGCGUGAGUGAUGACGGUCUUCGGAUUGUAAAGCUCUGUCUUCAGGGACGAUAAUGACGGUACCUGAGGAGGAAGCCACGGCUAACUACGUGCCAGCAGCAGC